AUGAACGCUGGCGGCGUGCCUAAUACAUGCAAGUCGAGCGCACGGACGAGAAGCUUGCUUCUCUGAUGUUAGCGGCGGACGGGUGAGUAACACAUGGAUAACCUACCUAUAAGACUGGGAUAACUUCGGGAAACCGUAGCUAAUACCGGAUAAUAUUUUGAACCGCAUGGUUCAAAAGUGAAAGACGGUCUUGCUGUCACUUAUAGAUGGAUCCGCGCUGCAUUAGCUACUUGGUAAGGUAACGGCUUACCAAGGCAACGAUGCAUAGCCGACCUGAGAGGGUGAUCGGCCACACUGGAACUGAGACACGGUCCAGACUCCUACGGGAGGCAGCAGUAGGGAAUCUUCCGCAAUGGGCGAAAGCCUGACGGAGCAACGCCGCGUGAGUGAUGAAGGUCUUCGGAUCGUAAAACUCUGUUAUUAGGGAAGAACAUAUGUGUAAGUAACUGUGCACAUCUUGACGGUACCUAAUCAGAAAGCCACGGCUAACUACGUG
rnacentral:rRNA from 1 species